UACGUAGGGUGCGAGCGUUAAUCGGAAUUACUGGGCGUAAAGCGUGCGCAGGCGGUGAUGUAAGACCGAUGUGAAAUCCCCGGGCUUAACCUGGGAACUGCAUUGGUGACUGCAUUGCUGGAGUAUGGCAGAGGGGGGGUGGAAUUCCACGUGUAGCAGUGAAAUGCGUAGAGAUGUGGAGGAACACCGAUGGCGAAGGCAGCCCCCUGGGUCAAGAUUGACGCUCAUGCACGAAAGCGUGGGGAGCAAACAGG
rnacentral:rRNA from 1 species